rnacentral:rRNA from 1 species
ACGGCAGCACGGGAGCAAUCCUGGUGGCGAGUGGCGAACGGGUGAGUAAUGUAUCGGAACGUACCUUUCAGUGGGGGAUAACGUAGCGAAAGUUACGCUAAUACCGCAUACUCUGUGAGCAGGAAAGCAGGGGAUCGCAAGACCUUGCGCUGAUUGAGCGGCCGAUAUCAGAUUAGCUAGUUGGUGAGGUAAAGGCUCACCAAGGCGACGAUCUGUAGCGGGUCUGAGAGGAUGAUCCGCCACACUGGAACUGAGACACGGUCCAGACUCCUACGGGAGGCAGCAGUGGGGAAUUUUGGACAAUGGGGGCAACCCUGAUCCAGCCAUGCCGCGUGAGUGAAGAAGGCCUUCGGGUUGUAAAGCUCUUUCAGCCGGGAAGAAAACGCAUGGGUUAAUACCCUGUGUGGAUGACGGUACCGGAAUAAGAAGCACCGGCUAACUACGUGCCAGCAGCCGCGGUAAUACGUAGGGUGCGAGCGUUAAUCGGAAUUACUGGGCGUAAAGCGUGCGCAGGCGGUUUGUUAAGAUAGGCGUGAAAUCCCCGGGCUCAACCUGGGAACUGCGUUUAUGACUGGCAGGCUAGAGUAUGGCAGAGGGGGGUGGAAUUCCACGUGUAGCAGUGAAAUGCGUAGAGAUGUGGAGGAACACCGAUGGCGAAGGCAGCCCCCUGGGCCAAUACUGACGCUCAUGCACGAAAGCGUGGGUAGCAAAC